GUGUGCAGGUAUAGGAUACAGGAAUACUGGUAAUGAUAAGUAACCUUGUUUUGCUCACAGACCACAGCCUGCUGCUGCUCAGAGUGCUUCCUGUGUUGUAACUGAUUUAGGAUCAUGACAGCUGUCUACAUGCAUUUCACAGUUGAGGAAACCCAGCAGGAAGAUACAGACUUCCCCUGGCUUACCAGAGUCCACGCCCAGCUGUGCCCUGCUGCCUCAGACUGCAAGGUGCAGUGUUUCUGGACCUGUGGGCUGAGCAUGAGUUUCAUCAGCCAGCCAGGGGACCAAAUGGGAGCAUUAAGCACACAAGUAGUUGCGUUUAUUCGUGUUAGAAAGCAUGGGUGGCAAAUUUGUUUUAAACAUUUGCUGAUUGAUACCCUUUAAAGAAAUUAGCCACAAAUGUUUGGAGGUGUUGGAAGCCCUAAAAUACUUCUCUGCAGGGAAAAAAAGUGCUGACUAUAGCAGGGCCCACGAGAGUCAUUCAGAAAGAGCCUCCUGGGUCACUGGCUCCCCCUGGUCCUCUGUGUCUGCUGCACUCCCCUCCUAGCAACACUUCACAGACAAGUCCUCCUUUCUCAUAGUUCUUGAAAGGCUUUCCUUCUUCCCAGAGUGCCACAGCCCAGCAAACUUCACAAGAGACGUCCGACACACAUCGCUGUGUUCUCUCAUAUGUGGUCCUGUGUUGUGGCUCUCUGCGCUCCCAGAACACAGGAAGCACAUUUGUGCCUCUAUAACUAACCCAAUAAGUGAUGAAUGGAUUUGCUAAUUAUGAAACUACUGUAUCUCCUGGGGGGGGGGGGGGGACUGUCCCCUUACUGAGCUUCUUCCUGGCUGGACUGAAGAAAAAAGCAGUGUCCCUUUGCUGGCAUGAAUUGUCCCCACCUCCUGGAGUGGAUAAGGAUGAGUCUCUCCCCUCUGCCAUGCUAAAGGCCUUUCUGCUCCAUGCUGAUCCUCCUCUGAGCCCUGCCUUUCUCUUAAUCCACAGUGUGUGUUUAAAGGCUGCUUUUAAGUCUACUGGGUAUUUGAUGUAGGAUUUAGACCCUGAAUGCAAGUACGUGGUCACUACGCUGUGAGUCUGCGGGCAGCCUUCAUCUACCUACCCAGGCAGAAGCCCUGAAGGGAGCAGCUUUGCUCUUCCAUGUACUCCCCACCAUGAUGGACGGCCCUGCCAGAGGCCAAAAGCAACGGGGUCACCUGCCUAAGGUCUGAAACCACUAUGAAAGAACAAUUUACGACCCAUAAACUAAGAUGAAGCCAGGCAACAAAGAGC